rnacentral:lncRNA from 1 species
GUAUGGACCGGUGGAGACGUUAGAUGGUUAGCUAGUGAAUGCUAGCGAGAAGAAAGGGGUGUCUGACUUGGCUACCUUGAGAAAUGCAACAUUUAGAAAUACAUUUGCGACAAAUUAGUGGACCUUUCUAAAAAUAAUUUAAAAAAUUGAGAAAUUAUUUCAGGGUCAAGUGAGUGGAGUAUGACCGGUACAAUGUGGUUUUUUUACAAUUAUAGUCCUUUUUGUAACGUUCAGUUUGAGCGGGAGGCACUGAACAGACUGUCGGCACGGCUGUCAACAACAAAUGCACAGCAAAGCUGUAGCUUGAUAUCUCUACCUUUCGAAAACGAUACAAUGAUUUAAAUACUUUAAAGUUUGUAAGGCUGGGGAUACCGUUUCAUAUGUUAUUCAUUUUUUUCUAUUUUUGAGGAAUUUAAGUGUAAGUAGUCACUUACCUACUCAUUUGAUCAUGUUUUCUAGUUAAGUUAACGUUAGUGGAUUCGCCUGAUGGAAAGCUUUUCACAACCUCUUAUGACGCAUGCUGGUCAUGGGAAUAGUUGUAUGGGAAGCCCUCUCCCUAACCUUGACUGGAUGUCUCCCCCCCAGUUCACUAUACAUGCAUCUGGACUGUGCUGUGUUGGAGUGAGAACGGCCCUACUGUAACAGACCCGCCUGACCGUGAAUGGGGAGAUAGAUUGGUGCUCGGAGUUCACUCGCAAGUCUCCAUUAGUGGAGUCGCGUGAAAUGAACAAACUGUGUUUGACUGUGUGUAGGCUUGGUUUGUGAGUGUGUCUCUUCUCUGACAUUGGUGUUGUGCAGAGGGAACCCCAGUCAGUCAGUUAGCUCUGCGGUCACUCUGCCUGCCUUGUUCUCUACUGGGCAUGUGUUGUGUGUUGGACAAGUGGGAACGGGCUGCUGAAGUUUUUGCAGGAUUAACACCCACAACUGCAUGACUGGUGUUUCUAUGGCUUAGAAGGGUUCCUAUUUAUAGAUGUCAGGCCUGGUGUAAAUUACUAUAAACAAUAAACUGAACCUCUACCUCCCUGCCUGCACACACCCCUGUCCAAAACAGUUACCUCUGGCUAGUUACUCACCACAUUAAACUCUACUAUUUUAGGGUGAAAUUAACUCUCUAAAAGACAUGAAUACACCCAAACCAAGUGUGGAAUGGUCACCUUUAAGUCCCUAACCAUUCUAGAUGAAUGCUGAGAAUUUUGGUUUAAUGUGACUGGAUUUUGGUAGUUUGGUUCUGUUAAUAGUGAUUUAUAUUUUGUUCAAUUUAUUGUAAUGAUUUUAUUAAAAUUGCAGUGUCACGUGUGUGGGAGAGGGAUAGUAAGAAAUGUGUUUGUAGGUUGUGUCAUUGAAGUAUAAUUCAAAUGUAGGCCUAUAUUAUAUUUUAGAAAGUGAUUGCCACCUUUAAAAAAUCAAACAUUCUUAGAUAAUGGACAAGAACAUCCCUCCAUACACAAGUACCCAGUUCUUCCAACUUCAGUCUAGUUACACCAUGUAGUUACACCAUGUCAUGGUGUAACUAGACUAAAGUUGGAAGUACAUCUGGGUUAUUGUGUAUGGAGGGAUGUCCUUGAAAAUAAAGCCAUAGCUAAGGAAAUUGCCCUAUUAUGUUAAGUUUGACUUAUUUUCUUUUUAAAAAAAAUAUAGAUUUAUCUAGUGUGCCAUUUUAGUUGUAUGUGAAGUUGCAUGGGACUGCUUUCAAACCUAAAAUCCUUUCCCAGAAUGUAAUAUCAGGCUUCUAUAACUUGUUCAGUAAUUUGAAAUGUAUUUGCAUUUUUGGUACUAGUUGUUGUCUAAACUGAAUUAUGAUAUGACUGCUUUUUAUAUUUGACAGCAUUGUGCAUACAAUCCUCAUAACCUACUUAAAAUAAUCAAAG